ensembl:lncRNA
AUGGGAGUGACCGAUGUGGUCAAACUGAAACUCUACUGCUACAUGGCCGUAGGUCUGCGCCCGCCCACUGCCUCGCUCUGGUCCCCACAGCCACCCACUAUUACGUCAGGCAGGGAAGCCAGUCUAUUUCCUCCCCCUUCUUUAUCUAAAGGAAGUGCCAAAAUAAGCACCGGCGGCGGAGCGGCGGAGCACCUUUCCCACUGGCCACUGAGUCGCCGUCUGAGGAAGAAGUCGCAGGAGCUUAACGCCCGCAGAAUCAACAUGAAGCCCUCCGGUGUUCUCGUGCUCUCCCUGCUCGCAUCCCUCCAUGUCUUCACACCAGGUGUGAGGCUGCAGACGACACAACCAACAAGCCCACCAGGAACAACCGCAAACCAAACAACACCGACGCAGAACAAGACAGCGUCCACAGCAGCGACCUCUUCAUCCACCACCGCAGGACCAUCAGGCAAAACAUCAGCCACAACAGCAGAACCAACAACACCAACACAAUCACCUCCAGCAGAAAUCCAACUAGGUUCAACCACAACACAACCAGAUGCAACACCGACGCAGAACAAGUCAGCAUCCACAGCAGCGCCCUCUUCAUCCACCGCCACAGCCCAUCAUGUCACCAGCCCGAUUCCUGAGAACGGAAAACCUGAGCAGAAAACCCAUCAACCUGGGAGGACCACGACUUCCUCCGCAGCAUCUUCAGGCGGCACGAACGGCACCAGCACAGCUGAAAACAAGACAGACAAUCAAACUUUGACACCAAACACUCCUCUCGAUUCUAACACAGAGAAACCCAGAGAAACUGCACCUGCAGCUACAGCAGAGAAUGGCCCAGACAAAAGGUGGUGGUGGAUUCUGCUGCCCAUCGGCCUCGUGGGAGCUGCUGCUAUCAUUGUCAAGUUCAAAAGCAAGAAGGUCCACGUUAACUCGGAAACCGUCGAUAUUGGAACUGAGAACGCAUCUUUCCAGAGCAGACCCGAAAGCGCCAAAGAUGGUGUCAUGCUCCUCGGGGUGAAGUCAUCGGGUGGAGAAGACAAUGGUGAGCCGCCUUCUUUCUAUUUCCUGUUGGGGUUGCUCCCGAGUUUCUUUCCGUUUGUUCAUUCCUCCAUCACUUGCUGGACUUACAGUGAUUCCAGGGAAGUUGCGGGCUUUUAA